AGAGUUUGAUCAUGGCUCAGAACGAACGCUGGCGGCAGGCCUCAAACAUGCAAGUCUAGGGGGUGUAGCAAUACAUCACCGGCGGACGGGUGCGUAACACGUGGGAAUAUACCUUUUGGUUCGGAACAACGCAGGGAAACUUGCGCUAAUACCGAAUGUGCCCUUACGGGGAAAGAUUUAUCGCCAAAGGAUUAGCCCGCGUAGGAUUAGCUAGUUGGUGAGGUAAUGGCUCACCAAGGCUCCGAUCCUUAGCUGUUCUGAGAGGAAGAUCAGCCACACUGGGACUGAGACACGGCCCAGACUCCUACGGGAGGCAGCAGUUGGGAAUCUUGGACAAUGGGGGAAACCCUGAUCCAGCCAUGCCGCGUGAGUGAUGAAGGCCUUCGGGUUGUAAAACUCUUUCGACGGGGACGAUAAUGACGGUACCCGUAGAAGAAGCUCCGGCUAACUUCGUGCCAGCAGCCGCGGUAAUACGAAGGGGGCUAGCGUUGUUCGGAAUUACUGGGCGUAAAGCGCGCGCAGGCGGUCUUCCAAGUCAGUGGUGAAAGCCCGGAGCUCAACUCCGGAACUGCCAUUGAAACUGUAAGACUUGAGGACGAGAGAGGUGAGUGGAAUUCCCAGUGUAGAGGUGAAAUUCGUAGAUAUUGGGAAGAACACCGGUGGCGAAGGCGGCUCACUGGCUCGUAUCUGACGCUCAGGCGCGACAGCGUGGGGAUCAAACAGGAUUAGAUACCCUUGUAGUCC
rnacentral:rRNA from 1 species